GACGAACGCUGGCGGCGUGCUUAACACAUGCAAGUCGAGCGAUGAAGUUUCUUCGGAAAUGGAUUAGCGGCGAACGGGUGAGGAACACGUGAAGAAUCUGCCCUCCACUUUGGGAUAACACCGGGAAACCGGUGCUAAUACCGAAUAUUGAAACAUAAGUGGCAUCACUGAGUUUUGAAAGAAUUUCGGUGGAGGAUGACUUCGCGGCCUAUCAGCUAGUUGGUGAGGUAAUGGCUCACCAAGGCAACGACGGGUAGCCGGCCUGAGAGGGCGACCGGCCACACUGGGACUGAGACACGGCCCAGACUCCUACGGGAGGCAGCAGUGGGGAAUAUUGGGCAAUGGAGGAAACUCUGACCCAGCGACGCCGCGUGCGGGAUGAAGGCCUUCGGGUUGUAAACCGCUUUCAGUAGGGAAGAAGCGAAAGUGACGGUACCUACAAAAGAAGCACCGGCUAACUAUGUGCCAGCAGCCGCCGUAA
rnacentral:rRNA from 1 species